rnacentral:rRNA from 1 species
GACGAACGCUGGCGGCGUGCCUAAUACAUGCAAGUCGAGCGAAGCGGCGGUUGGGUGAGUAACGCGUGGGUAACCUGCCCUUAAGUCUGGGAUACCAUUUGGAAACAGAUGCUAAUACCGGAUACUAAAGGAUGGACCUGCGAUGCAUUAGCUAGUUGGUAAGGUAACGGCUUACCAAGGCGAUGAUGCAUAGCCGAGUUGAGAGACUGAUCAGCCACAUUGGGACUGAGACACGGCCCAAACUCCUACGGGAGGCAGCAGUAGGGAAUCUUCCACAAUGGACGAAAGUCUGAUGGAGCAACGCCGCGUGAAUGAAGAAGGUUUUCGGAUCGUAAAGUUCUGUUGGUGGGGAGGCGGUAAUCAACCAGAAAGUCACGGCUAACUACGUGCCAGCAGCCGCGGUAAUUC